AGUUGUGGUCGGUGUGUGGAUGUCUUUACCCAACGCGCAAGACGGGAACAGAAGAAUACACGUUGACAUCCAAGUGCAAUGAAUUACAAGAAAUGCAAAC